UUUAAGUUAGGAUUUCUUUAUAUGUGUAGGGUAUUCAGAUUUUAGUUGUAUUAUUUGAGUUUCCAAAAGAUUACUGUGAAUUAAUACUGUGAAUUAAUGAAUUACAGUGAUUUAAUGUGAAGAAUGCUUUGGAUGGGGUAAACAGGAUGUGAGAGACCAGUGAGAAGGCCACUGCAGUAAUCUACGAGAGAAAUGAUGUCAGCAUGGACCACAAUGGUGGUGACCAAAGUGGAGUAACGUGGACGGAUGCCAGAAAAGACCGAAAGAUCUGGAGGAAUCUCCAGAGGAGAGGAAGCCAGAGAGGGAAGGAAGCCAAGGACCUGGGCCAUCCACAGCCUGGAUCAUUAGCUCCAGCGUAAUUGAGAAUAACUGACUGUAUGUGUGACUAUGGCCAGAAAAUCCAGAAAGAGAUGAAAAGGCAAAGAAAA